UGCCAGCCGCCGCGGUAAUACGAAGGGGGCUAGCGUUGUUCGGAAUCACUGGGCGUAAAGCGCACGUAGGCGGACUGAUCAGUUGGGGGUGAAAUCCCAGGGCUCAACCCUGGAACUGCCUCUGAUACUGGUAGUCUUGAGUUCGAGAGAGGUGAGUGGAAUUCCGAGUGUAGAGGUGAAAUUCGUAGAUAUUCGGAGGAACACCAGUGGCGAAGGCGGCUAACUGGCUCGGUACUGACGCUGAGAUGCGAAAGCGUGGGGAGCAAACAGGAUUAGAUA
rnacentral:rRNA from 1 species